rnacentral:misc_RNA from 1 species
GAUGAAGAACGUAGCGAAAUGCGAUAAGUAAUGUGAAUUGCAGAAUUCAGCGAAUCAUCGAAUCUUUGAACGCACCUUGCGCCCUUUGGCUAUUCCAGAGGGCAUGCCUGUUUGAGUAUCAUGAACACCUCAACUCUCAUGGUUCUGCCAUGAUGAGCUUGGACUUUGGAGGUCUUGCUGGCCCCUGUGGUCAGCUCCUCUCAAAUGGAUCAGCUUGCCAGUGUUUGGUGGCAUCACAGGUGUGAUAACUAUCUACGCUUGUGGUUUUCCACCAGGUAACCUUCAGUGAUGGAGGUUCGCUGGAGCUCAUAAACGUCUCUCCUCAGCGAGGACAGCUUCUUGAAUGUUUGAUCUCAAAUCAGGUAGGGCUACCCGCUGAACUUAAGCAUAUCAAUAAGCGGAGGA